CGGUGGAAUGCGUAGAUAUAUGGAAGAACACCAGUGGCGAAGGCGGCUACCUGGUCUGCAACUGACGCUGAGACUCGAAAGCAUGGGUAGCGAACAGGAUUAGAUACCCUGGUAGUCCAUGCCGUAAACGAUGAGUGCUAGGUGUUGGAGGGUUUCCGCCCUUCAGUGCCGGAGCUAACGCAUUAAGCACUCCGCCUGGGGAGUACGACCGCAAGGUUGAAACUCAAAGGAAUUGACGGGGGCCCGCACAAGCGGUGGAGCAUGUGGUUUAAUUCGAAGCUACGCGAAGAACCUUACCAGGUCUUGACAUCUUGCGCCAACCCUAGAGAUAGGGCGUUUCCUUCGGGAACGCAAUGACAGGUGGUGCAUGGUCGUCGUCAGCUCGUGUCGUGAGAUGUUGGGUUAAGUCCCGCAACGAGCGCAACCCUUGUUACUAGUUGCCAGCAUUAAGUUGGGCACUCUAGUGAGACUGCCGGUGACAAACCGGAGGAAGGUGGGGACGACGUCAGAUCAUCAUGCCCCUUAUGACCUGGGCUACACACGUGCUACAAUGGACGGUACAACGAGUCGCGAACUCGCGAGGGCAAGCAAAUCUCUUAAAACCGUUCUCAGUUCGGACUGCAGGCUGCAACUCGCCUGCACGAAGUCGGAAUCGCUAGUAAUCGCGGAUCAGCAUGCCGCGGUGAAUACGUUCCC
rnacentral:rRNA from 1 species